rnacentral:rRNA from 1 species
UGUGGCUUGCUACAACCAAUCGCAUUUAUUAGAAAACAUCAACCGCAUAGCAAUAUGCGUGGUGAAUCUAGAUAACUUUGCUGAUCGCAUGGCCUUGUGCCGGCGACGUUUCGAUUGAGUUUCUGCCCUAUCACCUUGAUGCUAGUGUAUUGUACUAGCAUGGGAGUAACGGGUAACGGAGGAUCAGGGUUCGAUCCCGGAGAGGGAGCCUGAGAAACGGCUACCACAUCCAAGGAAGGCAGCAGGCGCGCAAAUUACCCAAUCCAGACAAUGGGAGGUGGUGACGAAGAGUACCGGAGAACUGAAUAUUUUUUAGUUCGUCUGGAAUGAAAUCAAUUUAAGCAAUUGAAUAGAGAAACAACUGGAGGGCAAGUCUGGUGCCAGCAGCCGCGGUAAUUCCAGCUCCAGUAGCGUGUCUCAAAGUUGCUGCGCUUAAAACGCUCGUAGUUGGAUGAGAAACUAUAUAUUAGAUAGUUAUUUACCAGAUCAAUGAACUAUAUAUUGAAUGAAACUGAAAUGCCAUUGGCGUUGAGUUGAUAUUAAUAUUUGUUUAACUGGGAAUAACAUAGAACUGAUAUAUAGUAAUUGCGUGUGAGGAUGAUCAUUAACCUUGAGUGUGUUGAAGAUCGUGUCUCACGGGAUGUGCCUUGAGUAAAUCAGAGUGCUCAAAGCGGGCGUGAUGCCUGAAUGUUGAUAGCAUGGAACGAACAAUCGUGUAGAUGUGUAUUGAUGAUGGUACAUUAUUAUCUACGAUAAUUAAUGUUACUACAAUAUGCAACACCGACCGCCAAUUACGGAUGUUGGUUCCGUA